ACGUCCUUAGCUCAGUGGAAGAGAGCAUUUGGCUACGAACCAAAAGGUCGGGAGUUCGAUUCUCUCAGGGCGUCCCA
rnacentral:tRNA from 1 species